rnacentral:rRNA from 1 species
CCUACGGGAGGCAGCAGUGAGGAAUAUUGGUCAAUGGGCGAGAGCCUGAACCAGCCAAGUCGCGUGAAGGAUGACGGCCCUACGGGUUGUAAACUUCAUUUGUCAGGGAGAAAUUGGGUCCACGCGUGUGCUUAGCGAGAGUACCUGAAGAAAAAGCAUCGGCUAACUCCGUGCCAGCAGCCGCGGUAAUACGGAGGAUGCGAGCGUUAUCCGGAUUUAUUGGGUUUAAAGGGUGCGUAGGCGGAAUAUCAAGUCAGCGGUAAAACUUCGGGGCUCAACCCCGUCGUGCCGUUGAAACUGAUGUUCUUGAGUGGGCGAGAAGUAUGCGGAAUGCGUGGUGUAGCGGUGAAAUGCAUAGAUAUCACGCAGAACUCCGAUUGCGAAGGCAGCAUACCGGCGCCCAACUGACGCUGAAGCACGAAAGCGUGGGUAUCGAACAGGAUUAGAUACCCGAGUAGUA